GACGAACGCUGGCGGCGUGCUUAACACAUGCAAGUCGAACGGAAAGGCCUGUCCUUCCUUGUGUUGGACGGGUACUCGAGUGGCGAACGGGUGAGUAACACGUGAGUGAUCUGCCCCCAACUUGGGUAUAAGCCUGGGAAACUGGGUCUAAUUCCCGAUAGGACUGCAGGGUGGUGCCUGUGGUGGAAAACGAUUUUCUAGUGGUUGGGGAUGAGCUCGCGGCCUAUCAGCUUGUUGGUGGGGUACUGGCCUACCAAGGCGGCGACGGGUAGCCGGCCUGAGAGGGUGGACGGCCACAUUGGGACUGGGAUACGGCCCAGACUCCUACGGGAGGCAGCAGUGGGGAAUAUUGCACAAUGGGCGGAAGCCUGAUGCAGCGACGCCGCGUGGGGGAUGACGGCCUUCGGGUUGUAAACUCCUUUCGACCGCGAGGAAGCCGCCUGGUUGGAAGGGUGGUGACGGUAGUGGUAGAAGAAGCACUGGCUAACUACGUG
rnacentral:rRNA from 1 species